UACCACCUACGGGACGCAGCAGUGAGGGAUAUUGGUCAAUGGGGGAAACCCUGAACCAGCAACGCCGCGUGAGGGAAGACGGUUUUCGGAUUGUAAACCUCUGUCCUCUGUGAAGAUAAUGACGGUAGCAGAGGAGGAAGCUCCGGCUAACUACGUGCCAGCAGCCGCGGUAAUACGUAGGGAGCAAGCGUUGUCCGGAUUUACUGGGUGUAAAGGGCGUGCAGCCGGGAAGACAAGUCAGAUGUGAAAUCCCGCGGCUCAACCGCGGAACUGCAUUUGAAACUGUUUUUCUUGAGUACCGGAGG
rnacentral:rRNA from 1 species